rnacentral:rRNA from 1 species
UACGUAGGGGGCAAGCGUUAUCCGGAUUUACUGGGUGUAAAGGGAGCGUAGACGGUUAUGUAAGUCUGGAGUGAAAGCCCGGGGCUCAACCCCGGCGAGCCGUUGAAACUGGCUGUCUUGAGAUGUCGAGAGGUAUGCGGAAUGCGCAGUGUAGCGGUGAAAUGCUUAGAUAUCACGAAGAACUCCGAUUGCGAAGGCAGCUCACUGGACUGCAACUGACACUGAGGCUCGAAAGUGUGGGUAUCAAACAGG